rnacentral:rRNA from 1 species
AUGAAUGCUGGCGGCGUGGAUGAGGCAUGCAAGUCGAAUGAGUUCAUACUCAUGGCAGACGAGGUAGGAACACGUAGGUACGUACCCUAAAGUCAGGGAUAAUCCGUCGAAAGGCGGGAUAAUACUUGAUGGUCCCUUCGGGGUAAAGAUUUAUCGCUUUAGGAACGGCCUGCGGGCUAUCAGCUUGUUGGUAAGGUAACGGCUUACCAAGGCUACGACGGCUAGGGGAGGUGAGAGCCUGACCCCCACCGAUGGAACUGCGACACGGUCCAUACUCCUACGGGAGGCUGCAGUCGAGAAUCUUCCGCAAUGGGCGAAAGCCUGACGGAGCGACGCCGCGUGGUGGAUGAAGCGCUUAGGCGCGUAAACACCUUUUAUGGAGGAGAAAGUUUAUUGAUGUUACUCCAUGAAUAAGGGGCUCCCAACUCUGU